UGAUGGUGUCGCACACACUGCUGGGAGAUGUCAUCACAUGCUACCUCCUUCGGUGAUGUCAUCACCCAGCACCAUGAUGUCCACUG
rnacentral:pre_miRNA from 1 species